CAGGGAUUGCCCUAGUAACGGCGAGUGAAGCGGCAACAGCUCAAAUUUGAAAUCUGGCUUCGGCCCGAGUUGUAAUUUGCAGAGGAUGUUUCUGGCGCGGUGCCUUCCGAGUUCCCUGGAACGGGACGCCACAGAGGGUGAGAGCCCCGUAUGGUUGGACACCAAGCCUGUGUGAAACUCCUUCGACGAGUCGAGUAGUUUGGGAAUGCUGCUCAAAAUGGGAGGUAAAUCUCUUCUAAAGCUAAAUACCGGCCAGAGACCGAUAGCGCACAAGUAGAGUGAUCGAAAGAUGAAAAGCACCUUGAAAAGGGGGUUAAACAGUACGUGAAAUUGUUGAAAGGGAAGCACUUGUGACCAGACUUGUGCCGGGCGGCUCAUCCGGGGUUCUCCCCGGUGCACUCCGCCCGGUAUAGGCCAGCAUCGGUUCUUUCUGGGGGAUAAGAACGGUGGGAACGUGGCCCUCCCUCGGGAGGGUGUUAUAGCCCGCCGUACGAUACCCUGGAGGGGACCGAGGUUCGCGCUCCGCAAGGAUGCUGGCGUAAUGGUCACCAGUGACCCGUCUUGAAACACGGACCAAGGAGUCGUCCAUUAGAGCGAGCGUUUGGGUGUCAAACCCGCACGCGUAAUGAAAGUGAAAUUAGGUGAGAGCUUCGGCGCAUCAUCGACCGAUCCUGAUGUUCUCGGAUGGAUUUGAGUAAGAGUUUUAACGGACGGACCCGAAAGACAGUGAACUAUGCUUGUAUAGGGUGAAGCCAGAGGAAACUCUGGUGGAGGCUCGCAGCGGUUCUGACGUGCAAAUCGAUCGUCAAAUAUGAGCAUGGGGGCGAAAGACUAAUCGAA
rnacentral:rRNA from 1 species